rnacentral:rRNA from 2 species
UACGGAGGGUGCAAGCGUUGUUCGGAAUUACUGGGCGUAAAGCGCGUGUAGGUGGCGCUGUAAGUCGGAUGUGAAAGCCCUCGGCUCAACCGAGGAAGUGCAUCCGAUACUGCAGUGCUUGAGUGUCGGAGGGGAUGGCGGAAUUCCCGGUGUAGAGGUGAAAUUCGUAGAUAUCGGGAGGAACACCUGUGGCGAAGGCGGCCAUCUGGACGAUUACUGACACUGAGACGCGAAAGCGUGGGUAGCAAACAGG